rnacentral:lncRNA from 1 species
GCCAAACGCUACGGUCCUGCGCGUACUUCCGGUAUAUUACGCGGUUCAUAGAUAUUUGCACGACCAACAACUACAACGAAGUAUUUACGAUGCCUUCGACGUGCUGCUGUGUCCCGGGAUGCUGCAAUCAAGGUGGUUUGUCGUUUCCGAGAGAACCCAUGUUGCUGAAACGAUGGUUGAUUGCUAUCCGGAGGAGCGACGAAUCAAACCAAGGCAAGAUGUGGAAACCGUCACCUCACAGUGUUGUGUGUCAUUCCCACUUCAGACCGUCUGAUUUCAUUGCUGUAACUAGUUAUGGUGCUUGUUUUCCACAGAGAUGAGGCACAGAUGAUUCAAGAAUACAGGGUGUACACCUCUGAGGAAACAGAGAAAACCAGAUGCUGUACCAUCAAUCUUUCCCUGGACUGCAUCCGCCAACGCACUUGAGGCCGAUGGAGGCUUAAGGAAAUCCCGCAUUGAAAGACGUGAGAGC